AGUGCUGAAGAGGAGCAGCAGAUGUACACUGACUUCAGUCAUACUUACCUCAGGCUCGUCUUUCCCAGCCAGUUUAAGGUGUGCUUGUGAGGGAAAAACAUGGCAGUGCUGGGGGGAGACCACAGCUGGCACCUGCCCAGGGAAGUGCUCGUCCUUAGCUCGCUGACUGAAGGCACAGCCAGUCCGCACACUUCUUUCUGUGUGCCAUCCUGCUGUGUUUGGGCCUUCCUCUUCGUACGGGCAUGGAUGCUUCAUCACAGUGCCCUGUAGUAAGUACCAUAUGGGUCCCUGGGGUCAGAGCUGAUCCUGAGGCACAGCACACUUCCAUCUUUUUGUAAUUCACUGAGUCACUGCGUGCCUGGGCACUGACUGAGGGAAGAGCAGCACAAACCGAGUUACAUGCACACAGUCAGUGGGUCUGGCAAAGCCAGCACUGAUUCAGAGACAAAAGCAUUCCUCCUGAGUUUUCCACAGCCAUUCGAGCAACGUGACAUGCAGCCAAAGCAAAAAGCAAUCAGAGAGCCUCUUGGAACACUUCCAUAUCUAUUUAUUGUGAGAAUGGGAAAGAAAAACAUGUCUGCUUACAGUUACAAUGGUCAUGGCCCCUCAGGCUUUUCUCAUGAUUCUGCAUUUCAUUGUAAUAACUUUUAAAUGUGCUUCUAGAAGGAGUCUGAACUGUGAUACUCCCUGGGGACCGUUGGUUUCUCCAUUCAUCAGCAUUUCAUUCUUGACGUUAGAAUGGUAAAAUUACCUUUCAAACUGGCCUUAAAAAAUACUCACAGAAAAUAUGGACCUAGAUAGAAAAAUAAGUUUUUUGCAAGCACACGCAGAUGGAUGUGUGCUGGUAUGAGGAAACAUAAAUUUGGAGCUCGGCUAAUAAAUACUUUGAGAAUUUUCUUUCAUUGAUGAAUUGGUAAAAGAAACCAGACCCCUCUUUGCGCUGACAUUUUAUUCAUCGGAAGUGGCCUGUGAGUAAAAGGCUUAGAAUUCUCCUAAAUGCCAGUGGCUCAGUUGCAGGCUGAUGUCAGCUGUUAGACACUUAGCCAGUACUAGGAUUUCACACCAUAGCGCCAAAUUUACAGACACAGAAUAGCUUUGCUGAGACUGCUAAUUUCGCUCCAAAGGCCUGUCCUAUACUAUAUUAAUGUGGCUGGAUGUUUCUACAUCCUGAAGAGGGCACUGCUUCAGCGUAUUUUUUUAUAACCACAUAGAAGCCAUACAAGACGGAGCUAAUGCUCCCUUAUACUAUUAUGCAUCUCCUAAAACAAGCUGUAGAUUUUCAGGAAUAAGUCUGAAAGUACAUUUGACAGUGUAAAAUUAUACUGUGUAACCAGGAGCCUUUUGAUUAACACACACCAAAGAAUGACAAUUUAUUGCAGUGGAGUUAAAAUGUCUUAAAUUUUAAAUUAGUAGACUCCUACCAUGAUAUUUGUCAAUAAAUGAGCUGAGUGCUGACUGACAUAUAGGACAGGUGACACAAAAGGCAUGCUCACUGCUCCUCUUUGUGCACCACUGCCCAUGCUUGCACAGAAGUGCUGCCAUCACAGUACCAAGACCCCUCAGUGGGAAUAAUCUGACAGACAAGCUACUCAGGCUUUCUCUUAAAAACAAAAACAAAAACAAAAAACCUGUGCUGUGCCAGAGCACCAGGAAGGACUGCAGUCCUUCUCGCGUUAUCCCACAGAGUCCUGUGGCUGCUCAGAUUUCCCUGGCCGAAGGCUUUUCUGAAAAACCUUUCCAGAUGCCGGGGCAGUGUUCUGCUGUGUAAGGUGUCUGUGCUCCCUCUCUCAAAUCCUGCAGAUGGUGCUGUCUCUACAGGAUGGUACUUUCUGAACACGCCGCAAAAAUGGGUGGCUAAAAGGUAUUACUUGUGUGGGUGUUGCAGUUCUCUGUCACAGGAAGGUCUUUGUUAGUGGAGUCACCUGCUGCAUGAGUCUGCUGCCUCUGGCAGGGUAAGAUGGGAGAGGCUCCUGGAGUUCACUUUCAUGCAACAUGGACAAGCGAAGAGGUUCCCUGACUACUCUCAAGGUACAGAGUAGCAGGCUGUGCUGGAGCCCAGUUGGAUGGGGCGAUGCCCUUUGAUGCCCAGCCAUGCCCAGCAGAGUGACCCGGCAGACAGCAGAAUUGGAGAGCACAUCCGAGCUGCAAGAGCCUCCUGAGAGAAUAUGACAGUCCUGGUGGGGUCACAAGCACUGGAAGAAGCUGUUGCUUGUCUCUUUGAUAGUGAUUCCUGACUGGAUGUCCCUGCAAGGUGUGCCUUCUGCAGGGAGGAUUCUGCAUCUGGACAUAAACCAUCACA